rnacentral:lncRNA from 13 species
UUUGCGCUCACUUUGGCCCGGGCUCCCGGGAAGUUGCGCGGCACCGCGGGGCCCAAAGCGGGCGCGGGCUGACCCGGCCUCCGGGGCGGGGUGGGGGGACACGAGCCCCCUCCCUCACGGCCGAAAGGGAAGGGGGCUGGCGAGGGGGGAAGAAAGGCUGCCGGGCCCCGCGGUGCCGAGCCCGCGGCCGCCCCAACUCUCCUCAGGCUGCCCCGCAAGUUGCGCGGGGUCCCCGGGCUGCCGGUGCUGCCCGGCGCAUGGCCCCCCGGCGCCGGGAGCCCCGCGCUGCCCCGCGCGCGCCUGCCCCGCCGCCGCCGCCGCCGCCUCCCGCGCGAGCCGCCCGCCGGCAGGGACUAUAUUUCCUCCGGCGCGCGCGCCUGGAUCUCGCUGGGCCUCGGCAAAGUUGUGCCUCGGCUCAAUGCUAAUUCGGCAGUGCCCGGAUGGAGCGGGCCGGGGCGAAGGGGGCGGGGCCGGGACCCUCCGCCCGCCCCGCCCCCGCCCCUCCCGCGCCUGCGCACUGCCGCCCCGCCGCGGCCCGGCGCCUGGAGCGGAGAACAAAAGUGGCGGCGCACAGGAGUGCAGCUCGGGCCGGGCGCUCGGAGAGAGGGGCGACCGUGGGGUCCUCCUCUCCGUCCCCAGGCCCGGCCCGGGGAACCCGGCGCCGUGUAACGCCGGCUUCGGGACACUUUCCACUGAGCGGGUGCGAGCCCGUGUUUCCAGAGGGACAUGUGGAUGAUCCUUUACCAGAACCCGAAUUGGUUAACAGAAACGUGCAAACAACACCUGCUUUAAGACUCCACAGGAGGCCGACCUGGCACGGUGGCUCAUGCCUGUAAUCCCAGCAUCUGGGGAGGCCGAGAGUCUUGCCCAGGCUGGAGUGCAAUGGCAUGAUCUCGGCUCACUGUAACCUCCGCCUCCCAGGUUCAAGUGAUCCUCCUGCCUCAGCCUCCUGAGUGGCUGGGAUUACAGGUGCGCACCACCAUGCCCAGCUAAUUUUUUUCUAUAUUUAGUAGAGAGAGGGUUUAACCAUGUUGAUCAGGUUGCUCUCGAGCUCCUGACCUCAUGAUCCGACUGCCUCAGCCUCCCAAAGUGCUGGGAUUAUAGGCGUGAGCCAUUGCACCUGGCCAUUUUUUUUUUAAGAAAUAGGGUCUCACCAUGUUGUCUAG